rnacentral:rRNA from 1 species
UACGGAAGGGGGCUAGCGUUGUUCGGAAUUACUGGGCGUAAAGCGCACGUAGGCGGAUCGAUCAGUCAGGGGUGAAAUCCCAGGGCUCAACCCUGGAACUGCCUUUGAUACUGGUAGUCUCGAGUCCGGAAGAGGUGAGUGGAAUUCCGAGUGUAGAGGUGAAAUUCGUAGAUAUUCGGAGGAACACCAGUGGCGAAGGCGGCUCACUGGUCCGGUACUGACGCUGAGGUGCGAAAGCGUGGGGAGCAAACAGG